rnacentral:rRNA from 1 species
CCUACGGGUGACAGCAGUGGGGAAUAUUGCGCAAUGGGCGAAAGCCUGACGCAGCGACGCCGCGUGAGGGAUGAAGGUCUUCGGAUCGUAAACCUCUGUCAGCAGGGAAGAACGGUCACUGUGCUAAUCAGCAGUGAAUUGACGGUACCUGCAAAGGAAGCACCGGCUAACUCCGUGCCAGCAGCCGCGGUAAUACGGAGGGUGCGAGCGUUAAUCGGAAUUACUGGGCGUAAGGCGCUCGUAGGCGGUAUGUCAAGUCAAGGGUGAAAUCCCCGGGCUCAACGUGGGAACUGCCUUUGAAACUGGCAGACUGGAGUGUGUGAGAGGUUAGUGGAAUUCCAGGUGUAGGAGUGAAAUCCGUAGAUAUCUGGAGGAACAUCAGUGGCGAAGGCGACUAUCUGGCACAUAACUGACGCUGAGGAGCGAAAGCGUGGGUAGCAAACAGGAUUAGAUACCCCAGUAGUC